UACGAAGGAUCCAAGCGUUACCCGGAUUUAUUGGGUUUAAAGGGUGCGUAGGCGGGCUAUUAAGUCAGUGGUGAAAGCCUGCAGCUUAACUGCAGAACUGCCAUUGAUACUGAUGGUCUUGAGUACACUUGAGGUGGGCGGAAUGUGUCAUGUAGCGGUGAAAUGCUUAGAUAUGACACAGAACACCGAUUGCGAAGGCAGCUCACUAAAUUGUAACUGACGCUGAGGCACGAAAGCGCGGGGAGCAAACAGG
rnacentral:rRNA from 1 species